UGAUUGGGUUGAGUCCCAGCUCUGUUGUUUUUUAACUGUGUGACCUUGGGUAAACUGCUCAACCACGCUGUACUUUAAUUUCCUUACUUGAGAGUAGGAAUUAGCAGUCUUUACCUUACAAUGUUUUGUUGCAUCUUAAAUGAGGGAAAAGAGGUAAAUUGCUUAGAAGGUAUUUAAGAAGCACUGUAUAACUGUUUGCUAUGAUUGUUGUCCUUGCUGUCAUUAUUAGAGUCAGUGAAAGAUAUUCUUCUUUUUGUGUGUGGUGGGUUUUUGUUGGUGCACUCAAAAACACUAGAAAACAACAAGACUACUGGUUCCUUAGAUUUUUGUCAGGAUCACAGCUGAAAAAACAUCAAAGAAAUGAAGGAUUCUGGAAGCUCUGGUAAAAACACAAAGGAUUCUCCGAGGCUUCCUUUCUCUUGCGAGUUAGGACAGUGGCAUUUUGACUGAGUGUAGGAGCCCUUGUCAGCUGUCCUGGGAGGGUUAACUCACACCUAGGCGGGAGCCUGAUGCCAUUAAGUCGGGGAGAGUAAUGAAAUUUCAUUUAAUUUGUCAGGAAGAAAGUGCUAAUGUUAAAAGGCAUUUAAUAAAAAAAGGGAGAGAUUCUUUGAAAGGGAGUCCUUAAGUAAUUACUUCAAGUGUCUUAUGCCUACUCACCAGAAUAUUUACAUUAGUGUCUUACAGUGCCAGUGUGUAAUUAAAUUAGUGCAACAUUUACAGUCCCUGCUUUUUUCUUUUAAGUGUUAUUUUACUAAUAAUGCUCCUUUAAAAAAAAAAGAGAGAAAAUAACUUGAUGCAAUCGAAUCACAUGCUCAUAUUUGUUGUUGUUGUUUUUGAAAAAUUCUUACUAAGAGAAUUGCUGAAUUAAAGUUGCAUGUGUGUGCAUGUGUUGGGAAGAAGCGCUGAUUCCAGCGCAGAGUGGCUGUGCUCCUUCCUCAUCUCCACUCACAAAAAAUGCCAUCUUUUAUCUACUCAGACCUGACAUGGAGAUUCAGGUCAGCAGCCAGGGACUGUCAGCAUAUUGCAGUGGAUACCCUUGCCUAGCCCGGGUUCUCUUUUCAACUUGUCUGCGAGGCAAGGAUGGAUACAGAUGUGAGAGCGAGAGGAAGUCCGCGGGAAGCCAGGGUCCAGAUUCAUAAAGAAAUAUGAAAAUGGAGGGUUAAUUGAAUCUCCAUGAGACGAUAUCCCAUUUCGUUGGCAAAUCAAAGCAUCAGCAUGGAUGAGUUGCUGUUCUGGAUUUUGUGUAAUCGAAGAAAUAGCUACCUAAUGCUUUGAGGACUUAAUAUCAAGCAAGUAAUAAUCUAUGAACUUUACCUAUAUUGACCCCUUUAUUCUUGUCAAGAAAUCUAUAAGGUUAUUACCUUUUUAGGCAGAUGAGAAAACUGAAGCUUAGUGCUAUAAUAACUUCCCCAAAUCAUACUGCCAAGGAGUGACAGACUGUGAUUUGAACUCAUGUAAUCUAGUUCCAGAGUUCAUUUUCUUAACCACUGUUCUUUAUUGCCCACCCCAUCAACAGGUCCAGACACACAUGCAUAAAUACAUAUAGGGUUUUAGAAUGGCUUUGCUGAAAAAGGGAGAAUUAUAAAGACCUUCCUGUGUUUUAUUGGAGGGUGCCAUCUAAAAGGAAAAUGCAGUUUGGAUUGUCGUCAAUGCAGAUUUAAAAGGAGAAAAACUGCUAAAUAGAAAACUACAAGAAGAGAUUCCUGGUACAAUUGAGCUCUUCAAUUUGAUUGAAGAAUUUAGCUAUAAAGAACACUAUCAAGGAACAAGUAAUUUAUAAUCUGUUUUUUACUUUUAUUUUCUUACUCUUCAAUAUAAUAUCACUUUUGUCCAGUGGUAGCAAAAUGCUUCAGUUGGUGUUUAGAAAAAUUUUCUAAGUCGGUGACACUUAAUAGUGCAUAUUGGCCGGGCACCGUGACUCACGCCUAUAAUCCCAGCACAUUGGAAGACCAAGGUGGGCAGAUCAUGAGGUCAGGAGAUGGAUACCAUCCUGGCUAACAUGAUGAAACCCCAUCUCUACUAAAAAUACAAAAAAUUAGCCGGCAGUGGUGGCAUGCACCUAUAGUCCCAGCUACUCGGGAGGCUGAAGCAGGAGAAUCGCUGGAACCUGGGAGGCAGAGGUUUAAGUGAGCUGAGAUCAUGCCACUGCACUCCAGCCUGGGUGACAGAGCAAGACUCCGUCUCAAAAAACAAACAAAGAGAGUGCAUAUUGGUCUUUAAAUAACCUUUUACUUUUUAAUAGAAAAAGUAAAAAUAAAGUAGCUUAAAAAUACAUUUACAGUUCUUUAUUAGCAAACAGUUUCAGUCAAAACCCAGGUGUAAUUCUUCUCCUAAUCACAAAGUGUCACUAAUGACGUUUUGUAAAGAGAUCGACUGCUUUUUCUUGGGAGCUAUUUAUAAAGAGGGUACAAUGGUUCAUCCAAGUGUUUGGCCACCUUCGUUACUUAGCAGGAUUGACUCGAGAUCCGAUCUGCCCGACUGCUGUAAUCUCUUUUACAUGAGAGAGAAUCAGAAAACCCGGACGCUACCAAAAAUGUUAAUUCAAGUGAAAAGAAAACAUAUCCUGGCUUUUGAAGACCCUAAAGUAGUUGAAAAAAGAUGAUGGGUGUUUUUGACUCUAAAGCUCUUUCUAAGGCGGGGGAAAAAAAAAUAGCAGAUCACUUUGCUUUUCCAAAGAAUGCUUUUGAGAAAUGUAGCAUUCCACAGAAGAACACAAAACAGCUAAAGCUUUUAGAUGCAAUUAAAACAACUGCUGACAUUAUUUAGAGCUAAACUACAGGCAAAGAAAACACUGAAUGGCCCAAAAUCAUGUAUGUGGCAUAAAAAUAUAUAUAUAUAUAUACAUUGAAAUGGGGGAAACAGAUUCAGAAGAAAUGAUUUGUAAGGAUGUGGCUAAAACUAUUUAUAUACCAGGUUCUAUUUGUUUUACAGCUAGUGGUGCACGGACAGCAUGAAAGGUUAUCUUUGACAAGGUUUUAGCUAUUAUUUUCUUCCAGUGAAAUGGUAUUUCUUGAGAAAAAAAGGUCUUUGGAACAAAAUAACAAUAAAUCCUGAUUUAGAUACAUAAACCUGCCAUUGAUAUCACAUAAUAUCAGUGUUCUUUCUCACUCGAUACAGGCGUUUUAAAGAUAAAUGGUAAAACUGAACUGGAAAUCCAUCUGGCCGGCUGCCUGCUCUAAUGAAUAACCCCACUUUGGCUCGUGCAAUGACGUCUUCCCUUUGGAAAGCAGUGCAGUGACAGUGUCAAGGGUGCCUGUGUGUUUGUGGCAUGUUCCUUCCAGAAGCAGCUGUAAGUGCCACCUCCAGGCCAUCUGGCCAAUGUGAGGAAAGGUGGUUGCAAUGGCUUGGCAAAAAACAACUUUCUGGUCCUCUGGUGUCCCCUGAUAACUGAUUUCAACAUAUGUCCAAGGACUUGCCUAUUGCUAUCAGUGGCUGUCAAAAAUUUAUAAGCAUAUUCAUUUGCCUGUUCAACUUAAUUGGUAUUUUGGAUUUGACACGAAAAAAGCAAGUUUGAUUUGCAUGUUAAGAGUCCAAGGAUACCACCCACAAAAUUCUAGAGAAUAAAAGAAAGGAUAAGUGUCUGAGGGGAGAGGGCACUUACAAGUUAUUCCAUUGAAUCCUAAUUUGAGGCUUCCAAAUUCAUUUUGGGGCAAAGAGAAAGUCCCCUAAGCACGGCUUUUUAAAACACUAUAAAAAGGAUUCCUGGUAUAAUUGAGCUCUCUAAUUUUAUCGAAAAGCACAUAGACUUCUAGAACAAUUUGUAUUUUUGAUGCUUAAAAAAAUCUUUUUUUUUUGUGAUGUGGUCUUUUAAACUCAUAGCACACCUUAUAGCUCCCUCUAAUUCCUAUAUUUUAAUUGAUCUUGAGGUUAUUUUCAUGUCACUGGGCUUAAUGCACAAGUAUUUUAGAAUUUCUUCCUGUAUAUACACUCAUACCUAUCUCAAUAAAAUGUCUAAUCAAGAAUUCACAUGUAGAAAAUAAAAAAUAGAACUACAUAGCCUUAAAGUGAAGUUAGUUUUUUCUGUUAUUUUAUAAAAUCCAUGUACCUCAAGUUUGAGUAUCAUUAUUAUAAAAAACACAGCCACUCAAGCCAUGCGUGACACACUCACUCAUUAACUGGGCAGGUUUUCCUACAGAAUAUGGAGAUAUGGGGCAGAGGCCAUGUGAUAAGAUGCAGGCUUCUUCUCAAUGGACCCGAAUUAGAAUACUAGCUUUUCCUGCUUUGAAGUUGGGUUACUUCAUCGAUUAAAUGGGGUUACUCUUGCCCAACUAGCAUGGUCGACAUCAUCUCACCAAAAAUCAAUAAAUGGGUGCUCAAGAAA